CAUGCAACAAAGGAGGAAGUAAAUUUUUAUGCAUUUACCUGUAUCUGCAACAUUUCUCAUAGUAUGUUUGAAAGCCCAAAUAAUGGAAUCUAAAACAAGUUUAAACUGUGCAGGUGGAAUAGCCAGAAAUGCUGGGAAA